GACGAACGCUGGCGGCGUGCCUAAUACAUGCCAGUUGAGCGCUGAAGGUUGGUACUUGUACCGACUGGAUGAGCAGCGAACGGGUGAGUAACGCGUGGGGAAUCUGCCUUUGAGCGGGGGACAACAUUUGGAAACGAAUGCUAAUACCGCAUAAAAACUUUAAACACAAGAUUUAAGUUUGAAAGAUGCAAUUGCAUCACUAAAAGAUGAUCCCGCGUUGUAUUAGCUAGUUGGUGAGGUAAAGGCUCACCAAGGCGAUGAUACAUAGCCGACCUGAGAGGGUGGACGGCCACAUUGGGACUGAGACACGGCUCAAACUCCUACGGGAGGCAGCAGUAGGGAAUCUUCGGCAAUGGACGAAAGUCUGACCGAGCAACGCCGCGGGAGGGAAGAAGGGUUUCGGAGCGUAAAAGUCUGUUGGUAGAGAAGAAAGUUGGUGAGAGUGGAAAGCUCAUCAAGUGACGGUAACUAAACAGAAAGGGACGGCUAACUACGUG
rnacentral:rRNA from 1 species